ACUAGUUUGGAUUUUGGUCACAACAAAUUGGCACUAGAGGAAGGAUCCUCAAUCCUUACUUGGGGCUUAUUUUAAAAGAGUGUUUCAUCAUGAGGCCAUGAAGAGGAGCAUCAAAUGCAUCUCGCCACUCAAAUGGUGCGCAACUUAAUAAUGUUCAGUAGGAAGCUGUGGUACCUAAAUUAGUUCAAGCACCAUCACCACCUCCUCAAUCUACACCAGCGGUUUUAAAGUAUAGGCUUGGAUCGUUGCGAUAUAAUAAAUGCAGCAGGCUGCUGUAGCUUAACUUACAGCGAAUCCCCCACUCUCCAUGGAGAUCA
rnacentral:lncRNA from 1 species